rnacentral:rRNA from 1 species
AGAUCUAGUGGCGAACGGGUGAGGAACACGUGAGAAACCUGCCCUGGAUUCUGGGAUAACAGCGGGAAACUGCUGCUAAUACCGGAUACCUUCGGUCUGUCGCAUGGCAGACCGAAGAAAGUUUUUCGAUCCAGGAGGGUCUCGCGGCCUAUCAGCUAGUUGGUGGGGUAAUGGCCUACCAAGGCAUCGACGGGUAGCUGGUCUGAGAGGAUGAUCAGCCACACUGGGACUGAGACACGGCCCAGACUCC